rnacentral:rRNA from 1 species
UUUGAUCCAUGGCUCAGGAUGAACGCUAGCUACAGGCUUAACACAUGCAAGUCGAGGGGAAACGAUGAGAGAGCUUGCUCUCUUAGUCGUCGACCGGCGCACGGGUGAGUAACGCGUAUCCAACCUGCCUCUGACUAAGGGAUAACCCGUCGAAAGUCGGACUAAUACCUUAUGCAGUCGUCGGAAGUCAUCUGAUGACGACGAAAGAUUUCAUCGGUGAGAGAUGGGGAUGCGUCUGAUUAGCUUGUUGGCGGGGUAACGGCCCACCAAGGCGACGAUCAGUAGGGGUUCUGAGAGGAAGGUCCCCCACAUUGGAACUGAGACACGGUCCAAACUCCUACGGGAGGCAGCAGUGAGGAAUAUUGGUCAAUGGGCGAGAGCCUGAACCAGCCAAGUAGCGUGCAGGAUGACGGCCCUAUGGGUUGUAAACUGCUUUUAUGCGGGGAUAAAGUGAGGGACGUGUCCUUCAUUGCAGGUACCGCAUGAAUAAGGACCGGCUAAUUCCGUGCCAGCAGCCGCGGUAAUACGGAAGGUCCGGGCGUUAUCCGGAUUUAUUGGGUUUAAAGGGAGCGUAGGCCGUGGAUUAAGCGUGUUGUGAAAUGUAGACGCUCAACGUCUGACUUGCAGCGCGAACUGGUCCACUUGAGUGUGCACAACGCAGGCGGAAUUCGUCGUGUAGCGGUGAAAUGCUUAGAUAUGACGAAGAACCCCGAUUGCGAAGGCAGCUUGCGGGAGCACGACUGACGCUGAAGCUCGAAAGUGCGGGUAUCGAACAGGAUUAGAUACCCUGGUAGUCCGCACGGUAAACGAUGGAUGCCCGUUGUCAGGCUGUAUCAGUCUGGUGACCAAGCGAAAGCAUUAAGCAUCCCACCUGGGGGAGUACGCCGGCAACGGUGAAACUCAAAGGAAUUGACGGGGGGCCCGCACAAGCGGAGGAAACAUGUGGUUUAAUUCGAUGAUACGCGAGGAACCUUACCCGGGCUUGAAUUGCAGACGAACGAUUCAGAGAUGAUGAGGCCCUUCGGGGCGUCUGUGAAGGUGCUGCAUGGUUGUCGUCAGCUCGUGCCGUGAGGUGUCGGCUUAAGUGCCAUAACGAGCGCAAACCCCUAUUCUCGGUUGCCAUCGGGUAAAUGCCGGGCACUCCGUGGAGACUGCCACCGUAAAGGUGUGAGGAAAGGUGGGGAGAACGUCAAAAUCAAGCGACGGCCCUUACGUUCCGGGGCUACGACGCGUGUUUCCAAUGGCCGGUGACAAGCGAAGUUCGGCCGCGUGAGGAAUGCGGUCCAUUCCUAAAAGCCGGUCCCGGUUCGAAACCGAGGUCUGCGCCCGUACCCCCGACGUAAACCGGUUUCGCGUGUGAACGGCGCGCGCAGCCGUGGCGCGGUUAUUACGCCCCCGGGCUCUGGGCACGCCGGACGU